AAAAUGCUAGUUAAAUUAUAACAUUAAAUUGUCAAAUUAAAAUUACUAAAGUGCAUUUUA
rnacentral:tRNA from 1 species